UUCCUUCAGAAUGAAAGUUCUCCUCUUGGCUGGCCUUUUGAGCAUUGCCACUGCUCUGCCCAUCCCUCUUGAACAAUUUGGAGGAAGUUCCAGUGGACAGAGAUUUGGCUUUUACCCACCACAAGGACCACCAUUUUUUCCUCAGAUCCUGUUUCCCCCACCUCCGCAACUACCCUUGAUUCCAAUUCCUUUCUUUCCCUUUUCC